GAUGAACGCUGGCGGCGUGCCUAAUACAUGCAAGUCGAGCGAACGGACGAGAAGCUUGCUUUUCUGAUGUUAGCGGCGGACGGGUGAGUAACACGUGGAUAACCUACCUAUAAGACUGGGAUAACUUCGGGAAACCGGAGCUAAUACCGGAUAAUAUUUUGAACCGCAUGGUUCAAAAGUGAAAGACGGUCUUGCUGUCACUUAUAGAUGGGUCCGCGCUGCAUUAGCUAGUUGGUAAGGUAACGGCUUACCAAGGCAACGAUGCAUAGCCGACCUGAGAGGGGGUUCGCCAACAUGGGAACGGAGACACGGCCCAGACCCCUACGGGAGGCAGCAGAAGGGAAUCUUCCGCAAUGGGCGAAAGCCUGACGGAGCAACGCCGCGUGAGUGAUGAAGGUCUUCGGAUCGUAAAACUCUGUUAUUAGGGAAGAACAUAUGUGUAAGUAACUGUGCACAUCUUGACGGUACCUAAUCAGAAAGCCACGGCUAACUACGUG
rnacentral:rRNA from 1 species